UGGGCAUCUCGCCCAUCAGGACGGUCUAGCCGAUAGGACAGAUCGUUGAUGGAUUGGCUUGUGUGAAUAGCGAAGGUAGAAAUGAAAACAAACUGGUUAAAGUUUCUAUCGGCCUAACGUGAAAUUUCAUUAUUCUAAAGUCCAUAAAGAAUAUUUUAUUCUAUACUAAAAAUAAUAUCGUAUCGAAAAUACGUGAAUUUGAAACGCCUAAUUUGGUUUAUGUUUAACAAACAUCAAUAGGGGAUUAGAUUGUAAAACUAAAAGCUAAUGGUUUAAAACUAGUGCGGUUGAAAAUUAAGGACAAAGCAUCUAAAUUAGCCUAUGUACAACUAUACUAGAUUACCAUCACGCGAACCCUACAAAUCUGUCGUAGCACGAGGACCUUAAAACAAACUAUCAAUUUUUUAGCUGCUACUAAGAGCCGCUCGAAAACGUUGGUGCAUUUAUUAAGGUAAAUCC